AAAAAAUUAGUUAAAACCAUAACAUUAGUAUGUCAAACUAAAAUUAUUAGUAUUUCUAAUAUUUUUUGA
rnacentral:tRNA from 1 species